AUUUACUGCAAUGGAGCUUGAGCAAAGCCUGGGAUCAAGAGAAAAUAUAAAUAUACAGAAUAUAGGGGCACAUGUUUCUUUAGACCUAGAUGCGUAAAAGUUUUGCAUGCGUCUUUCCAGUCUACAUAUACACAAAAAAAACAUUGUCAGACAAUAAUUGCUUACCAAGUAGGGUGAAACUCAUCUCAGAUCCACAUCACUUUCAAAAUAUGACCUUUGGUUUUUAUAUUUUACUAUAAUCCAUUUUAAUGGGUCAAGCACAUGCAUGAUGAACGUUAUUAGAGAACAAUAAUGAGCUAUUUUUGAAGCAGGCAAUGUGUUGUUUAUCCUGUAAGCCGUAGGAAGGGGGAAUUUUCUGGAGUUCGUCAUGUAAUUAUCCAUUAGGUGUAAAUGGAGGGA
rnacentral:misc_RNA from 1 species